rnacentral:snoRNA from 1 species
AAGUGAGAUGAUGGCAUACCAUCUUUCGGGACUGAGUUGAUGUGAAGAGUACUGUUUGUUUUGCUGAUCACUU